UUGACGGGGGCCCGCACAAGCGGCGGAGCAUGCGGAUUAAUUCGAUGCAACGCGAAGAACCUUACCAAGGCUUGACAUACACCGGUAACGCCCAGAGAUGGGUGCCCCUUUGUGGUCGGUGGACAGGUGGUGCAUGGUUGUCGUCAGCUCGUGUCGUGAGAUGUUGGGUUAAGUCCCGCAACGAGCGCAACCCCUAUUGUUAGUUGCCAUCAUUCAGUUGGGCACUCUAGCGAGACUGCCGGUAAUAAACCGGAGGAAGGUGGGGAUGACGUCAAAUCAUCAUGCCCCUUAUGACCUGGGCUACACACGUGCUACAAUGGUUGGUACAACGAGUUGCGAGUCGGUGACGGCGAGCUAAUCUCUUAAAGCCAAUCUCAGUUCGGAUUGUAGGCUGCAACUCGCCUACAUGAAGUCGGAAUCGCUAGUAAUCGCGGAUCAGCACGCCGCGGUGAAUACGUUCCCGGGCCUU
rnacentral:rRNA from 1 species